rnacentral:tRNA from 1 species
CAGAGUGUAGCUAAGAUAGAAAAGCACCUCCCUUACACCGAGGAGACAUCCGUGCAAAUCGGGUCACCCUGA